AGAGUUUGAUCCUGGCUCAGGAUGAACGCUGGCGGCGUGCUUAACACAUGCAAGUCGAGCGAAGCACUUAAGUUUGAUUCUUCGGAUGAAGACUUUUGUGACUGAGCGGCGGACGGGUGAGUAACGCGUGGGUAACCUGCCUCAUACAGGGGGAUAACAGUUAGAAAUGACUGCUAAUACCGCAUAAGACCACAGUACCGCAUGGUACAGUGGUAAAAACUCCGGUGGUAUGAGAUGGACCCGCGUCUGAUUAGGUAGUUGGUGGGGUAACGGCCUACCAAGCCGACGAUCAGUAGCCGACCUGAGAGGGUGACCGGCCACAUUGGGACUGAGACGCGGCCCAGACUCCUACGGGAGGCAGCAGUGGGGAAUAUUGCACAAUGGAGGAAACUCUGAUGCAGCGACGCCGCGUGAAGGAUGAAGUAUUUCGGUAUGUAAACUUCUAUCAGCAGGGAAGAAAAUGACGGUACCUGACUAAGAAGCCCCGGCUAACUACGUGCCAGCAGCCGCGGU
rnacentral:rRNA from 1 species